GUUCAGGGCAGGGUACUGGGUGGAGGCUAGUAACAGUAACUAAGGUUCAGGGCAGGGUACUGGGUGGAGGCUAGUAACAGUAACUAAGGUUCAGGGCAGGGUACUGGGUGGAGGCUAGUAACAGUAACUAAGGUUCAGGGCAGGGUACUGGGUGGAGGCAGGCUAGUAACAGUAACUAAGGUUCAGGGCAGGGUACUGGGUGGAGGCUAGUAACAGUAACUAAGGUUCAGGGCAGGGUACUGGGUGGAGGCUGGCUAGUAACAGUAACUAAGGUUCAGGGCAGGGUACUGGGUGGAGGCUAGUAACAGUAACUAAGGUUCAGGGCAGGGUACUGGGUGGAGGCAGGCAGGCUAGUAACAGUAACUAAGGUUCAGGGCAGGGUACUGGGUGGAGGCUGGCUAGUAACAGUAACUAAGGUUCAGGGCAGGGUACUGGGUGGAGGCUAGUAACAGUAACUAAGGUUCAGGGCAG
rnacentral:lncRNA from 1 species